CCCUCGUGAGGCAUGUGCCGGCCUUCAUCGGGUGCUCACUAACUGCACUUGUCCCAACAGUUUGGAGGAUCUGAGUUUGUUUGUAUGGUGUGUACUCUGUUUCAUCUGCGUCACGUAGUUGGAGUUUAGGGCCCUCGGGGACCAAUCCCUCCCAGUGAACUCUGAGACCCAGCCACCUUGGAGUUGGGGACCUCCAACUGGCACCCUGGGACCCUCCACCUAGACCUUGGGAUCCUGCACCUGGAGCUGGGACCUUCAACAGGGACCCUCCACAUGAACCCUGGCAGGGUCUCUGCCACCUGGAGCCGGGGACCCCUUGAGGUUCCUGCUCCCAUUUGGACUUCACUCCGCUCACCUGCACUUCAUACAGAGGACACACGACAAUACAUCCACAUUAAAGCACUUACAUUGAAUUAGCACUCACCUUGGUUGAAGUUUUAUUCCAUGCCCAUGGAUGGGAUUUGAACUUUGAACCUAGAACCUUUGCGUUGCCAUACUGUCACUGUGUGUGCAGAGCCACCCGUGUUUCCUACAGGUGGGUUGGGCUUAGAGGUGCUCAAUAUGAUUGUACUGCAUGCACGUGGCUCAUCGUAUAAUUUGUAUAAGAAACCAAAAAUAUUUACCGUGGGAUUUGAACCCAUGCUAGGAGAGUAAGAGGCUACAUGCGUUACCACUGCACUAAGAAGGCUUAUAGUUGCAUACUGAUGUUCCGGUUAUUAAAUACUUGGUAAUUUAAUCAUUGCUAUUUAACGCUUACAAUUGUUUACAAUGUACAUUAAAAUAUAUAUAAAUUACAAACUGUACUUUUUAAUGGAUAAUACCGGCAUAUAAUUUAAUGUAAUAAGAACAAAUAUUCAAAAAAAAAGCUGGACUCUCACCCUCAUUAAGAAGCUAGUGAGCUAUCUUAUUAUGAUGAUGUUAAUUGUGAUUUGACUCUUCCAUAGCAGUCAAAAGAACAAGGGUGGAAAAUUCACUGGUGUAACAUCAUAUCCAAAUCUCGACAUUAAUGAAAAUUUUAACUAUGGACCAUAUAGUAAACCACUGGACUCUGAGCUCUUUCGAUUGAAGAAAAAUCUUCACAAACUAUCCUGAAGCCUUCUCAUGGCUAGCAGACCUCGACAUUGGUAUGUUUAGCUUCUGGACCUAUUGCCAUAAUACGCAAGAAUAGAAUUAAAGUGUUUUUACACAUUCUGACGAGCACACAUCCUUCGGGGAGUGACGAAUUGAGUCGACCUAGGGGACCAGAUUAUCACCACUGAUGUUAGCCGUGAACUGUAAGCGCACAGUAUGGUCAGUCCACUGGUGGAUGAAUUCCCUCCCCAAGUCGCCGCCACCUGAUGAUGGUCUUGGAAACAACAAUGCAUUCCGCACCUGCACAUGACCUGACAUCAUCGCUCCAUCUUCCUGGCGGACGUACUGAUGGGUGCAUUCCAUUCCUUGGCUGCCACGUGGUUAUUAUUCUUGACCAUCACCCAUCAUCCUUUCGAGCGAGGAAUGUGUCCUGCCCCAAGCUCACGAACACCAAGGACUUUGUGUCUCCACGUCUGUGUGUGCACGUAUGGAUUUCCCUUAAUGUGUUUGUGUGUGUGUCUCUGUCUUUGUUGCCGUUGCUCACGCGGCGAUACAGACACGACACAUAUCUGUCCAUCUACCAACACAUAACAUUACCCGCGAUUUUUUUUCUCACGGAUAAGUGGAAUCCUGUGGCCCAAUUCAUGCUUUUAUCCAGCAGUGGUUUGAUCAUGGCUGAUUGUGAUGAUGAAGAGCAGUCAUUGUAUUGCUUAUGCCAGUCGCAGCACGAAUUUCAAGAGUGCAUGGUCAUCAGUAAGCAGGCACCAAGUGUAGUUUGAGCAUGCAAAUCAUCGUGGGCAUUACAGUGUAAAAUUACAGCAUACUAUGAAACCUUAAGCCAUCGCAUGUAGCGCAACACAAUAUUACAAAGGCACGCAUAAUUUCCAAAUGUUUACCACUCAGCAUGUAGAGAUACUUUAUUAUUAUAUGCUAUUUAAAUAAGAGCCUUUAUUUUGCACAGCAUUGUAAUUGCAACGUAGUUCAUGAUAUACGUCACAGAGGACAGCAUCUGAGAGCCACGUGUUCACAUGUAACCCACACUCCCAGCAAUACAGCCAACGUGGAAAAGAAAGCGGCAUCUAAUCACAAGUUUUGAUUUUAAAAGCAAAAAAAAAAACAUUCCAACAAGUUGCCGCUGCACCGCACAUGCGAAUUAACCGAGCGGACAGGUCGCAGAACAGGAGCGCCAGAGAUUUAACGACCGUUGCAAGAAAGUCCUUACAAGAAAUAACCUACGGUUUGAUGAAAUAUAUCUUACAAAUUUGCGGCUGAUCUUUCACAAAUGGUCCUUCCUGUCCGUGAAAUUAAUCGAUAGGUUCGUGAUCUUAAAAGUCUUGAAUUCAUUUAGGUAUGUUUUAUUUGUUUCAUCUGACGGGAUUUCGUGUGUGUGUGUAUAGGUAAAUCUUUAUCGCUACUUUUAUAAAUGGGCGGAGGAGAUGUUAAAAAAA